AGGCCGUACCCCGCCAGGAGAGCCUCGGGAGCCUUCGAGUUCUUUCGUUUUCCCCUCCAGGGUAAAGUUAUGUUCAGUCUUCCAUCAACACAUUUAUUUUUUCCGCCUGACUCGGCGCGCGUGCGCAGUGCCACCUAGCCCAGGCUGUUCCUGAGAUGUAAGCGUGUUGAACCCGGGGGAAGCCGAACAGCCGUCCUGCAGGAGGAGGACCGUGGCGAGGGCGCUUUGGCCCAGCGGGGAAGGACGCGGACUGGCACGUGGUGGCUACGGCCGUUCAAACCCCGGACGCGCCUGGGAUGCAAACCCGGGAUACCGGAGAGCGCGCCCCACCUGGUUGCGGCAGCCAGCGCUCCACGCAGGCCAAGUUAGCUGCACGGUUGAUCCGCGGGCCGGCGCUUCCAGUUCUGCACGCCCGCGCGCGCUUCUGAAGCCCCGACUGCCGAAACUUCUAGCAUUUGGAUCCUUAGAAAGAUCCAGUCAGAUCAUUAACAACAGACACACACACACACACACACACACACACACACACACACACACACACACACACACACACACACACACACACACCCCCAAGACCCUUCCCUGGGCUCUCUCGUGCUUCGUGGACUCUAAAAGUGUUUCUGCAGGUCAGUCUAGCAACAGUUUACGUGUCAUUUUGACUCAGCAAUUUCACCAUGUGGGGGGGCAUUAUCCUACUGGACAUCCGGCUUGUUUAAGGAAGUUCUCGACUCUGUAUUGUUUAUUAUAAUACAGUGAGAAUUGGCAAAAUAAACAAUGGCUAUUCCGUAA